rnacentral:rRNA from 1 species
UACGUAGGGUGCAAGCGUUAAUCGGAAUUACUGGGCGUAAAGCGUGCGCAGGCGGUUGUGUAAGUCUGUCGUGAAAUCCCCGGGCUACACCUGGGAAUGCGAUGGAGACUGCACGGCUAGAGUGUGUCAGAGGGGGGUAGAAUUCCACGUGUAGCAGUGAAAUGCGUAGAUAUGUGGAGGAACACCGGAUGGCGAAGGACAGCCCCCUGGGAUAACACUGACGCUCAUGCACGAAAGCGUGGG